GAUGAACGCGGCGGCGUGCCUAAUACAUGCAAGUCGAGCGAGAAGCUUGGAAAUGACGCUUCGGUUGAUUUUCCAAGCGGACAGCGGCGGACGGGUGAGUAACGCGUAGGCAACCUGCCCCUGACAGAGGGAUAGCCAUUGGAAACGAUGAUUAAAACCUCAUGACACCGUAGUAGCACAUGCUACAUCGGUCAAAGAUUUAUCGGUCAGGGAUGGGCCUGCGUCUGAUUAACUGGUUGGUGAGGUAACGGCUCACCAAGGUGACGAUCAGUAGCCGACCUGAGAGGGUGAUCGGCCACAUUGGAACUGAGACACGGUCCAAACUUCUACGGAAGGCAGCAGUAGGGAAUCUUGCACAAUGGGCGAAAGCCUGAUGCAGCAACGCCGCGUGAAGGAUGAAGGCCUUCGGGUUGUAAACUUCUGUUCUAAGGGAAGAAAGAAAUGACGUACCUAGGAGCAGCC
rnacentral:rRNA from 1 species